rnacentral:misc_RNA from 1 species
UUAUUUUAUUUUAUUUUGCUUACUUGCUAACUAUCAUUUGUUUUGUUUUUUGUUCUUACCAUUUUUCUUCUCUCUUAGCCGACCAAUGGAGGAAGAGGUAAGAUAUUUUUCCUCCCUUAUAUCAUCUGUCUGCUACUAUUUUUAUUUUUUCUUAUUUUAAUUUUUGAUUGAGUAUACUUUUCUUAAUGUGACCAUAGCUGCUAGGUUUUCUGUACCACAUUUUUAGGUUCCCCAAGAAAUUAUUUGCUAGUGCUGGUUAUUAAUUUUUGUGUGGUAGUUAUGAAUAAUUCUCAUGCUACAAAAUUAUUUUUACUCUUUGUAGUACAUUUCAUGGGAACUUUUAAUAAGCUACUGUUUUGUUAUUCACACACACAGAGCUUAGUUUGUAAUGAAACUAACUAUAUUAUAAAAUUUAUAACUUGAGUAAUCUUUUAUCUUGUAAGAUUAUAGAUUCCAUCAACAAUCUUGUUCUUGUGUUAUAGGCCAGAUAGCACCAAAUCAUUUCUCUUAUGCUUAUCUGUGCUAAUUGCUUCAGGUUAGCAAGAACGAGGAGGAGG